AAGCAAAGAAAAUGAGAAAAAGUUUCUGCUUAACACUGCAACCAACACAAAUGAGCCGAUAAGCAAAUACUGCUGAAUUACAUUCAUUUGGUGUCAUCUUUGUUUCAGGAGACUGCUACACAACUAGAGGAUGACUAUCAGACACUGUCUCAUAAGGACAGGGCCGUAUAUGAAGUGUGCGUCCUUCAAACAAACACAGGAAUUAAGUGAGCGGCGGAUGUCGAGUUCUUCACGUCUGCCUCUUUGGACUCCCAACACUGCAUUGACAUGAAGACACCAGCCUGGCUAAGCUGUCUGAGCAGCUUUAACUUUUAUAGGACUUACCUGGUGGCCAGUUCUGCUUGCCUUCUGCUCCUUUUCUUGGUCUUAUUCUUCUUCUGGUUUUGUUCCUUUGACAUUCUCUCAUUUCUCAAAUAAAAGCAUUAAUCCUA